rnacentral:lncRNA from 1 species
AGUGCUGGGACUAAAGGCGUGUGCCACCACGCCCGGCGAGAAACUGUAUUUUCAAGCAGUCAGUUAGAACCAGGAAACAACAAACAGGCAGUUCCCUUUGCUAGACAGACAACUUGAUUGUGCCAAUGUAAAUGGCCCUGGAGGUAAGGUAAACAGUUUAGAAGUUUAUCCUCAGUGACUCCAGUUUGAUUUUGUUUUGUUUUGUUUUUUUGGUUGACUGGUAUAUUAGCCCACUCCAAAUCAGUGGCCUUCUGUAGAUUAAUAGUGAGACGGAUGUCAGUGGAAGAGGGAGCAGGGACACACUCAGUUCCUGUUGCUGCCACUACCUAGAGAAAUGCUUUGUAGUUGCAGCAGGACUCAUGACUUCACUACAGAAAAGAAUUCCAUUUCAGGGGGAUUCAGUAUAUAUAUAUUAAUAAUAUAUAGUUAUACAUAUAAAAUAUAUUAUAUAAUAAUAUAUUUAUAUAAUAUAUAACAACAUAUAUAAUAGUACUAUGUUUCGUUUUUGUUUUUUUUAUUUAUUUACUUAUUUAAUGUAUGUGAGUAUACUGUAGCUGUACAGAUGGCUGGGAGCCUUCAUGUAAUUGGUAAUUGAAUUUUUAGGAUCUUUGCUCGCUCCGGUCAGCCCCGGUUGCUCAGUCCCUGCUUUCUCCAGCUCAAAGAUUUAUUAGUUAUUAUACAUAAGUGCACUGUAGCUGACUUCAGAUACACCAGAAGAAGGCAUCAGAUCUCAUUUUAGGUGGUUGUGAGCCACCAUGUGGUUGGUGGGAUUUGAACUCAGGACCUUCGGAAGAGCAGUCAGUGAUUUUUAACUGCUGAGCCAUCUCGCCAGCCCUAUAAUGUUUUUAAUAAUUGAUAUUAAUUAUAAUAUAGUAAUAUAUAACAAAGAUUUCUUAUAUUGGUCCAGUAUACUUGUUUUUAUUUUAUUUGUUUAUUUUUUUGUAUUUUGAGGCAGGGUUUCUCUGUGUAGGUAGCUCUGGCUGUCCUAGAACUCACUCAUAGUGAUCAGCCUCCUUCCACCUCCCAAGUGUUGGGUGGGCACUCAGGGAAGUUGUGAGCUUGGGUCCCUCAAAGGAGUUGAGAUUAAGGUCUUUUUAGCUAUAAGUAAGUACUGCUUUUUAUGGCUACUAAAGUUAUAUUUUGAAGGGCCACCAAAGGAACCUUUUAAGAAUAUCCUUCGACAGUGUGGUGUCUUAGUUGUCAUCCUCCAUUGGUCUUCCAUCUCUCCCUCCCUUUUCUGCUGAAACCCUCUUUUGAGGAACUUUUUCCUUUUGGGGAAGUAGACGGUGGGCUGGAUUCUAAUGUGUGUUAGUUAUGAUGACAUUUGAUAAAGUAGACGUCUAGGGCACUGACUUUCAGGGGAACUUGAGAUGUGCAGCGAACAGCCUGCCAUUAGAUCUGUGAGUUCAGGGCCAGCCUGGUCUUCUUAGAGUUCUAGCCAGCCAGCCAGGGCUAUGGAG